UCUUUGCCUUUGCCUCUUUCCUCUAUCUGGGUAGCUUUUCCUUGUCCUUCAGGUAUCAACCUAUGUUAUCUCCUCCACCAGAAAGCCCAUGAUAUUGACAUAAAAGUGGGUAGAUGUCCCUUCUCUGUGUUCCCGUAGUGCCCUGCUGUAUACCUGUCAUGGUAUCUAUGACUCUAUAUGGACAUUGCCUGCCUGUCUGUUUUUUAGGUUAGAGUUUAUGACUGUUGAGAGGUGGACCAUGCCAUCUUCAUCUUGUAAUUCCAGUGCUGGUUCUAGUACCUUAGCAUGUGGCUGUUGAUUACAUGAAUGAAGACUGAAAAAGCUCUGAUAUUUAAACACAAUUAGAAUUAAUGCCAUGUGUAAAUUAUUAAAUAGUAAUUUUGUAUUGUAAAUGCACAUACAUAUUUCUCAUUCUUAUUAACUCUGAUAAAGUUCUCAAGUCUUUAGUUUUUAAACUCACACUUAGUUAACUGAAGUGUUUUAGGUAAAGAACAAAAUUCUUUAUUUUUCUUUCCAGCUGUUGCUGUAUUGGACACUUGCUCCCAUCUACUUUCUUCUCUAGAAUCCACGGAAGAUGUUCUAAGCUCAGCUUGUAUUUUCUCUGCGCCAGCUCUGGAAUGAGUCAUUUUUUUUAGAAGCAGAGGUGGAGCCACUGAGGAAGCACAGACUCCCAUGGUGGUGGGUUGUGUCACCCCACAAUGUCACUGUUGCUGAGUCCCCAUCGCCUCUGUGUUGUGGAGCAGUUAGAGACACACAGCAGUGUCUGUGAGUAGCUCUGCGUGAAGGACCAUUUUCUAGAUGAGAGGCACAUCUCAACACAGCUCACUGAUCAGAUUCAGCAAUUCCAUUCUGCAUCUUUUCUGAUCACCUCCGUGACCACACAGGACAACCCCAUCAGGGCCCUGUCACCAGGCCCAGUCUAGCUCCAUGAUAACCAAGACACAGGUCCAGAGACAAUCGUCCUACAUUGUGCCUGCAUCUGACCCCCCUUGGUAGGUAGUGACCAGCACAACAUGGAAGAAGCCAGGGCAGCAUGCAGCCAGCUGCUCUGCAGCCCCAAAUGGCUCCUGGGCCUUGGGAAGUCAUUCAUAAAGGGGAAGCUGGUCACUUUGAGGUCCCUGAAGGGAAGGGUGAACGUGCAUCCCAACAGCCCUGGCAGCCAGCAGCAUGCCAUACAUAUUCUUACCCAACGUGUGUGACAGAGGUCCCCUCCUGGGGCACAAGUCCCAUACCUAAAGCAUCCUGUCCCAGUUGGACCUCAUCCUGAGCCCUGGGAGGGGAGGGGAACCAUGGGCCCCCCUGCAGCAGCCAGGAUUACCACCCAGGGGACUCGGCCUUCUGUGGCCCUGGCCAGACUUAGAAUUUGGCCCAAGACAAACUUACUCGGAGCAGCUUCUCAGUACCUGGGGCCUGUGUAUGCCAGGCAAGGCCAAGCUGGCUCAAAGAGCAACCAGCCACCUCUGCAAUGGUGUGCCAGGAGCAGGUGGAGCAGUCACCAACCUCACCCACUCAAGGAAACAGGGAUGGCCAGUUUCCCACAGUCUGAGUGACCACCACCUGACAGCUGAUGGAGUGGAGGCCUGAGGAAAAGCAGAUGGCACUGGGGCUCCACCUCCAGGGCAGAAUAACUGAUUUACCCUGACUGGCAGGGAGUGACGCUGGUGGCUGGUCCACUGGCUCCUGGCACACCCUUGCAGAGGUGGGUGGUUGUUCUUUGAGCCAGCUUGGCUUUGCCUGGCAUGCACAGGCCUCAGUGCAACAAAUGUGCUGCAAAUGGAGCCACAUAGAGGAAAUGAGCAGCAGGCUCAGAACUGGGGUGUGUGCUGCCUCUGGGGCUCCAGUCCAAGCAUCGGGGCUUCUACAGCACUGUGGGCUUCUCGGGUGCCAAGAGGCAGACCACAAGCCAUCUUGAGGAGGACUCUGGUAAGAGCUUCCUUGUGUAUGUGGAUGAUGUCCAGAAUGUUGGUCUGGUGUCCCUGAGACAGCACUAACAGGUCCAUGACUGGGUCCAGAUCCUGCCUGGGCUGAUGGGCAAAGAGCUCACUGACAGUGUGGAAGGCAUCUAUGGUGAAGUGGAUCUAUGUUCAAGUGCAGAAAGGGCCCAGUCUUGUAGAUGAACCACACAGCCAGCUUCUGGAUGCAGGUGCAGUGCCACAUUUUUUGUCACUUCCUGAUGUGCCCCACCAGCACUGAAGAGAUAGCCUGGAGACAGGGCAAGAGGAAGGCUGAGAAGGAUGAGAUGGUGAGUGCCAGAUUCUUCCUGGCCCUGAGCCCACCCCCAGUGUGACACUGAACUUUUAGGAGUGGGAGAGCAAGAUUGACAGCUUCAAGUGCUUCACCAAGAAGAUGGACAACAGGGCACUCAGCUCAACUUCACAGCCAAUGAGUGGUGGCAGGCUUUGAGAAAGAGCAUCAGAAGCCUGACAGUUCUUCUUCAGCCUCAGCCAGGCCUUGGAGCUGGACCAGGCCAUCCACUUCAGUAUAGAUGCCUUCCACUCUGUCAGUGAGCUCUUUGCCAGUCAGCCCAGGAAGGACCUGGACCCAGCCAUGGACCUGUUAGUGCUGUCUCAGGGACACCACACCAACAUCCUGGACAUCAUCCACAUACACAAGGAAGCUCUUACCAAAGUCAUGGAGAGCAGGCAACAUGUGGCAGAAGGGAAGACAGAGGUGCAGAGGCUGAUGACGUCAGAAUCACAGGAACAGGAUUUCUUUGGCCACUUUGGCUGAAAUUCACCACUUCCAUCCAAUUCCAGUGAGAGACAUGGACUCACAGAUGCAGCAUUUCUUGCAACAAGAUAUACUACUUUUUCAAAAAGUCACCCAGGAAUUGAUAGUGUUGAAUGACUCGAUACUCGAUCGUGGACGGUUUCCAGUUCAAGGAUACUUUCUACAGCAGAAUAAUAACACUAGCAAAGAGCUAGUACAAGGAUGGUUUUGUGCUCAACUGAAAUCCAGCUGAAUACAGAAUUGUAUAGGAAACAGUUAAUAUGGUGAUAGAAUAGAAACAGUAGCAAUCAUGAACUAAAUCAUACUAUGAAUGCCUAAACUACUGCUGUAACUUUUGGAAAAAUGAUAAUACCACUUUAUUGCUUUUUGAAGUAUGAAUAUUUUAGUGUAUAUGCUCUAGACUUCAAACUCUAUAAAGAGUCUCAAAGAAGUUGGCUGGAUAAAGCCUGCUGUGGAUGUCUUUAUAUUCAAAGAUUGAUGAUGCAAUUUGAAUAUAUGUCCCCACCGAAUCUCAUGUUGAAUUAUAUUUCCUAAUGUGGAAGGUGGAUCCUGGUAUAAGGUGAUUGAAUUAUGAAGGCAAAUUUCUCAUGAAUGGUUCAGCACCAUCCCCUUGUACCAUCCUCACAAUAAUGAGUGACUUCUCAUGAGAUGUAGUCACUGAAAUCUCUAUAUCACCUCCCCACUCUCCGUGUUUUCCCCUUGCCAUGUGAGACAAUUGAUUCUUUCUUUGCCUUCCAUGAUUAUUGAAAGAUUUCUGAGGCCUAGAAGCAGAAGCACUGUGCUUAGAACCAUGAGCCAAUUAAACCUCUUUUUCAAAAUAAAUCAUACAGGAAAUGGCAAAUGAGGACUGGAGCGUUGCUAUAAAGAUACCUGGAAAUGUUGAAGCAGCUUUGGAACCAGGUAAUGGACGGAGGUUGGAAGAGUUUGGAGGGCUCAAAAGAAGACAGAUGAGAAAACUUUUGGACCAUCUUAGAGUCUGGUUCAAUGGUUGUGACAAAAAUCCUGACAGAAACAUGGACAGUGAAGGCCAGGCUGAGGAGGUCUCAGAGAGAAAUAAGAAGCUUUCUGGAAAAUGUCUUCCUUUUGGAAAUGGAAAGCUUACACAAUGCCUGCUUUUUAUUUCAGAGACUCAUAGGCAAAAGAGACUGUAGCCUUGACCCAGAUGAGACUUUGGACUUUGUAACUUUGAGUUAAUCCUGAAAUGAGUUAAGACUUUGGGAGACUGCUGGCAAGGCAUGUUUGUAUUUUGCAAUGUGAGAAGGACAUGAGAUUCAUUGGGUCAAGGACAGAAUAAUACGGUUUUUGUCUAUGUCCCUACCAAAACUCAUGUGGAAUUACAUUUUGUAAUGUUACAGGCAAGGUCUAGGUGGAAAAAGAUUUAGUCAUAAAAUGGUGCAGGUAGACACUUCACGAAUGAUAAAGAACCAUCACCUUGAUGCUAUCCUCCUGAUAAUGAGUGAGUUCCCAUGAGAUCUUGUUGUUUAACAGAUCUCAUCCUCCUGCUCCUGCUUUAGGAGACAUCUCAUUGUCCCUUGGCUUUCUGAUAUAAUGAGGAGGCUUCCUGAUUCCUCCCAGAAACAGAAGACACUAUACUUCCUUCACAGCUUGCAGAACCAUGAGUCAAUUACACCUCUUUUAUUUACAAUAAUACAGAAAAGUAGAACUGCAGAGAGGAGCUGUGAAAUGCCUUCAAGGCCUUUUUCCCUUUGUUUGGGCUAUUAGCACAGGGCUUCUUUAUAUGCAAAUUUCUGAAAUCUUCUUGA